rnacentral:rRNA from 1 species
GACAGAGGUGCCGAGCGUUAGGCGGAAUCACUGGGCUUAAAGCGUGUGUAGGCGGGUCGUUAAGUGUCUUGUGAAAUCCCACCGCUCAACGGUGGAACUGCUGGGCAUACUGGCGAUCUUGAGCCACCUAGGGGCAGACGGAACAAGCGGUGGAGCGGUGAAAUGCGUAGAUAUCGCUUGGAACGCCGACGGUGAAAACAGUCUGCUGGGGGUGUGCUGACGCUGAGACACGAAAGCC